rnacentral:rRNA from 1 species
UACGUAGGGUGCAAGCGUUAAUCGGAAUUACUGGGCGUAAAGCGUGCGCAGGCGGUUCGCUAAGACCGAUGUGAAAUCCCCGGGCUUAACCUGGGAACUGCAUUGGUGACUGGCGGGCUAGAGUAUGGCAGAGGGGGGUAGAAUUCCACGUGUAGCAGUGAAAUGCGUAGAGAUGUGGAGGAAUACCGAUGGCGAAGGCAGGUCUCUGGGCUGACACUGACGCUCAUGCACGAAAGCGUGGGGAGCAAACAGG